UCACCAGAAGUAAAAAUGGGGUUGGUAAAUGUCAAUUUAAACUUGAGAUCUCAAUGGCUUGUGGAGUGGCAUCAAAAUGCUGAUAUCAUGCCACAACAAAUCUUAAGAUUUCCACUAAUGCAAGAGAAAGCCCAAUUAUAAUAAAGCAGUCCACCCAAGUAAUAGUAGCACUAUAUUGAAAAUCACUGUACUAAAUACCAAAAGUUCUCUCUUCUAUAUUUUGGUGAUACAUUUACUCAUGCAUUUCAGGUNNNNNNNNNNNNNNNNNNNNAGUUUUUUUUUUUUUUUUUUUUUGAAACUAGGGUAUCCGGAUCUUUGACCCGACUAAUCCCUAGGCUUCCCACCUGACCCCACAACAUUUGGGAAACUGGAAUUCUGGAAACUCUAGCAAUUGCUAGGUGGAUACCAUGGGAGAGGGUUCAGACCUCUUGAAAGCAAACCAAGUGUCUGACCGCUAGACCAACAACUCUUUGGUCUCAUGCAUUUCAGGUUUCAUUGUUCUGCAAUCACAUACUUACUGUUUUAUGUUUCUGUUGGUCAAAACGUUAAUCUUUCCACAUCUCUAAGUGCACUACAUCGGACACCUUAAUUCCUAGCAACUAGUGUGAUGCUGAUUGUUUAUAUCCACUCUUUCCUUUAGUUGAAUUAUAAUU
rnacentral:lncRNA from 1 species